UUCCGGUUGAUCCUGCCGGAGGCCAUUGCUAUCGGAGUCCGAUUUAGCCAUGCUAGUCGCACGAGUUCAUACUCGUGGCGGAAAGCUCAGUAACACGUGGUCGAACUGCCCUAUGGAUCGGAAUAACCUCGGGAAACUGAGGCUAAUCCCGAAUACGGCUCCCAGGCUUGAAUGCAGGGAGCUGGAAACGCUCCGGCGCCAUAGGAUGUGACUGCGGCCGAUUAGGUAGACGGUGGGGUAACGGCCCACCGUGCCGAUAAUCGGUACGGGUUGUGAGAGCAAGAGCCCGGAGACGGUAUCUGAGACAAGAUACCGGGCCCUACGGGGCGCAGCAGGCGCGAAACCUUUACACUGCACGACAGUGCGAUAGGGGGACUCCGAGUGCGAGGGCAUAUAGUCCUCGCUUUUCUGUACCGUAAGGUGGUACAGGAACAAGUGCUGGGCAAGACCGGUGCCAGCCGCCGCGGUAAUACCGGCAGCACGAGUGAUGGCCGCUCUUAUUGGGCCUAAAGCGUCCGUAGCCGGCCAGUCAAGUCCGUUGGGAAAUCGGCGCGCCUAACGCGUCGGCGUCCAGCGGAAACUGACUGGCUUGGGGCCGGAAGACCUGAGGGGUACGUCCGGGGUAGGAGUGAAAUCCCGUAAUCCUGGACGGACCACCGGUGGCGAAAGCGCCUCAGGAAGACGGACCCGACGGUGAGGGACGAAAGCUAGGGUCUCGAACCGGAUUAGAUACCCGGGUAGUCCUAGCUGUAAACGAUGCUCGCUAGGUGUGGCGCAGGCUACGAGCCUGCGCUGUGCCGUAGGGAAGCCGUGAAGCGAGCCGCCUGGGAAGUACGUCUGCAAGGAUGAAACUUAAAGGAAUUGGCGGGGGAGCACUACAACCGGAGGAGCCUGCGGUUUAAUUGGACUCAACGCCGGA
rnacentral:rRNA from 1 species